rnacentral:sRNA from 1 species
ACCGCCAACUUUGCCCACAGUCCUUCUCUUCCUGUCCUCUCCGCAACCUCAACAGCCUAUCCAAACCAUCUCCACCAUCCAUCCAUCUGUUCAUCUCCCUAUCUCCUUAUCUCCUCGUCUCCUCGUCUCUUCAUUUCUUCGUCUCUCCAUAUCUCUCGCACUCGCACCCGCACUCGCUCUCUCUCCUUCUCCUUCUCCCCAUCUCUAUUGCGAGGUCGCCAGUUUCUCCUCCAUCGUCCUUCGCUUCAUCCCCUCCUCCUACCAGUCCGUCCAAUUUCCGUACCCUCCAUCACCUCGCCCCUUUAGAUCGACCACUGAGCCAUCGCUCUAGCCAACCACAGUCGCUGCGCUGCCAACCCUGCACUCUAGCGGCGCAGAAGACUGGCGACUGCACCUAGACAGACACUUCCAUCACACUAGCU